UAGCAAAUUGUAGCUCUGCCAGAUGUUUGAAUGUGGUGAUAUCCUAUGUAGACAUAAUCUUACAGUUUUUACAGUAACUAAUAUUCUUACAUUGCCAUCACAUUAUAUCUUGAAGCAGUGGACAUUAAAUGCAAAAGUUUGUGCUGAAUCAGAUGAGCAUGUACAAGUACACGAUACUGAAUCAAUGGCGCAUAGAUACGAAAGUCUCUACAAGGAAGCCAUAAGAUACACCGAAGAAGGGGUUGUAUCUCAAGAAACGUAUACUGCUGCAUUAGGCGCACUUUAAGGAGAAGGAAAGAAGGCGAAUCUUGCAAAAAGAAAUGUAACUAAAAUUUAACCUCCUAACUCACUGGUCAGUGGUGCUGGCUAUGAUGAUUAGAGGACGUCUACCUCUGCUUCAGAAAUGACACUAUUAUUGUGGCCAGGACAAGAUGAAAUGGCAAAGUGCUUUAACCUUAAUGACACCGGUAGUCCUGCUUGGGCUGUUACUGAUUUAAAUGUUCAGCGCAUGGCCCGUCUCUUCACCAUGAUGAUGGUUAUGCAGAUAACACAGUGAUUCUGUCUCAAGUCAAUGACUUGGGUGAUGAAGAAUAAAACUCGGCACCUAUGAAUGGAGUUGCUACAUCAAACUGAAGGCAUUUCUUCCUAAUACCCGAAUUGUUAGCAUUGCUGUUGGAAAUGAAGUUUUGGGAGGUAGCGACAAUGAACCGGAGGCCUGCAAAGCCAGGUAUGAGGAGUUACGUAAGCGCUAUCUUGAUGCACGCAGAGGCGGAUCCAGAAUUUCAAACUUGUGGGUUGCAAAGGGCUUCUUUCCUACCACUAAGCUAUUCCUUGGUUUAGUUAUGGGUUCCACCUAUUAAUAUUUAUAACUUUUGAUGAUUUUUCUAUGUAAUUUUAAGCCUUAUGGUAGCGGGUGUGGGUUCCCGGAAACCCACACCUUCUACUCUACAUCCGCCACUGGAUGCACGUGAGUCAAGUUCUUCAAUAUCAUGAGCUUAUUUAGUUUAUUUGUGAGUUAGUAUCAUGGCAGUUCACAUAUAUGGAGCUUUAUAUAUCCAUCUUGUGUAGUCACUAUUUCUGAGUUAUUUUAUCUUGUAAAUGUGCUAAUAGCUUAGUCCACUGCCUGUAACAUGCCAUAAGAGUUUGGCUUUAUUUAAUUUUUUUUUAUAUGCCAAAGGCUUAACCAGUGCCCUACUUCUAUAAACUUCCUUACUACUAUUGUGACUUUUGAUUUCAUCAUGCAAAUUUGCCUCAUCCUUUCAUAAUUUUGAAAUGCAAAAGCAACUCAAGUGGUUGUACUUUUUCCUGAAUUUUCGUUCUUUUGUCAUGGAUCAGUUUCAAGGCUUCACAUUCAGAAAGUAUUGCACCAUUGUCUGAUUAAUCUUUUAAAUUCUGAACUCUUAGUUGCUACUAUAAUUGUUCGAGUGCAAGCUAAACUACGUUCAUUUAUCAACACUAGACUUCCCCAGUAACUAAUGUUCCCUAUCAUAUUUUGCUUUUGUUAUCAAUGAUAUAUGUACCAUCUUUUUCAAAUAUGGUUGGCAUCACUCUUUUGCCUACUCAACUGCUGAAGAUGUUGGUGCUGUGCACUUCUGCUGCCUUCUUUUUGAAUAACAUCAGGUACGACUUAAAAUUAGUACUAUUAUUACGCUGCCAAAAAUAUAUUGAAAUUUUCUUAGAAAUUCUAUGUAGAAAAUAUACUGCUACUGUGGUCUCUCUUCGAUCUAACAAAAGAUAGAUGCUACAAAAUUUAUAUCCAACUUAGAAUCUAAUUUUAUUUUCCCUUUUCUUCCACAGGUAUUUUUUGCCAAGCUGACAAACGGUACAAAGAAGCCAAAAUGCAGCACUACGUAAAUAAUAUAGGAUGUAAAUAUCUAAUGUAAAUAAUGCAGCUGUAACUGAAAUAAAUGU